AUACGUAGGGGGCAAGCGUUAUCCGGAUUUACUGGGUGUAAAGGGAGCGUAGGCGGGAGUGCAAGUCAGAUGUGAAAUACAUGGGCUCAACCCAUGGGCUGCAUUUGAAACUGCAUUUCUUGAGUGAAGUAGAGGUAAGCGGAAUUCCUGGUGUAGCGGUGAAAUGCGUAGAUAUCAGGAGGAACACCGGUGGCGAAGGCGGCUUACUGGGCUUUUACUGACGCUGAGGCUCGAAAGCGUGGGGAGCAAACAGGAUUAGAUACCCUGGUAGUCCACGCUGUAAACGAUGAUUACUAGGUGUGGGGGGACUGACCCCUUCCGUGCCGCAGUUAACACAAUAAGUAAUCCACCUGGAGAGUACGGCCGCAAGGUUGAAACUCAAAUGAAUUGACGGGG
rnacentral:rRNA from 1 species